UGGGGAAUUUUGGACAAUGGGCGAAAGCCUGAUCCAGCAAUGCCGCGUGUGUGAAGAAGGCCUUCGGGUUGUAAAGCACUUUUGUCCGGAAAGAAAUCCUUGGCUCUAAUACAGUCGGGGGAUGACGGUACCGGAAGAAUAAGCACCGGCUAACUACGUGCCAGCAGCCGCGGUAAUACGUAGGGUGCAAGCGUUAAUCGGAAUUACUGGGCGUAAAGCGUGCGCAGGCGGUUUGCUAAGACCGAUGUGAAAUCCCCGGGCUCAACCUGGGAACUGCAUUGGUGACUGACAGGCUAGAGUAUGGCAGAGGGGGGUAGAAUUCCACGUGUAGCAGUGAAAUGCGUAGAGAUGUGGAGGAAUACCGAUGGCGAAGGCAGCCCCCUGGGCCAAUACUGACGCUCAUGCACGAAAGCGUGGGGAGCAAACAGGAUUAGAUACCCUGGUAGUCCACGCCCUAAACGAUGUCAACUAGUUGUUGGGGAUUCAUUUCCUUAGUAACGUAGCUAACGCGUGAAGUUGACCGCCUGGGGAGUACGGUCGCAAGAUUAAAACUUAAGGAAUUGACGGGGUCAUAGCUGUUUCCU
rnacentral:rRNA from 1 species